GAUGAACGCUGGCGGCGUGCCUAAUACAUGCAAGUCGAGCGAACAGAUGAGGAGCUUGCUCCUCUGACGUUAGCGGCGGACGGGUGAGUAACACGUGGAUAACCUACCUUUAAGACUGGGAUAACUUCGGGAAACCGGAGCUAAUACCGGAUAAUAUAUUGAACCGCAUGGUUCAAUAGUGAAAGACGGUUUUGCUGUCACUUAUAGAUGGAUCCGCGCCGCAUUAGCUAGUUGGUAAGGUAACGGCUUACCAAGGCAACGAUGCGUAGCCGACCUGAGAGGGGGGUCGGCCACACUGGAACUGAGACACGGUCCAGACUCCUACGGGAGGCAGCAGUAGGGAAUCUUCCGCAAAGGGCGAAAGCCUGACGGAGCAACGCCGCGUGAGUGAUGAAGGUCUUCGGAUCGUAAAACUCUGUUAUUAGGGAAGAACAAAUGUGUAAGUAACUAUGCACGUCUUGACGGUACCUAAUCAGAAAGCCACGGCUAACUACGUG
rnacentral:rRNA from 1 species